rnacentral:RNase_P_RNA from 1 species
CUCCCCGGCGACGGGGAGAGGAAAGUCCGAACUCUCACGGGCAGCAUGCUCGCCAACGGCGAGGCGCGGCGACGCGACGGACAGUGCAACAGAGAGCAGACCGCCGGGGCGCAGUCGGCUCCGGUAAGGGUGAAAGGGUGCGGUAAGAGCGAACCGCCCGGCCGGCGACGGUCCGGGGCACGGCAAACCCCAUGCGGAG